rnacentral:rRNA from 1 species
UCUACGGGUGGCAGCAGUGAGGAAUAUUGGUCAAUGGGAGAGAUCCUGAACCAGCCAAGCCGCGUGAGGGAAGACGGCCCUAUGGGUUGUAAACCUCUUUUGUCGGAGAACAAAACCCGGGACGUGUCCCGGACUGCGUGUAUCCGAAGAAAAAGCAUCGGCUAACUCCGUGCCAGCAGCCGCGGUAAUACGGAGGAUGCGAGCGUUAUCCGGAUUUAUUGGGUUUAAAGGGUGCGCAGGCGGAAGCGGAAAGUCAGCGGUAAAAUUGCGGGGCUCAACCUCGCCGAGCCGUUGAAACUGCUCUUCUAGAGUGGGCGAGAAGUAUGCGGAAUGCGUGGUGUAGCGGUGAAAUGCAUAGAUAUCACGCAGAACUCCGAUUGCGAAGGCAGCAUACCGGCGCCCAACUGACGCUCAUGCACGAAAGCGUGGGUAUCGAACAGGAUUAGAUACCCGGGUAGUC